UACAGAGGUCUCAAGCGUUGUUCGGAUUCAUUGGGCGUAAAGAGCGCGUAGGCGGUCCGAUAAGUCGGCUGUGAAAGUCAGGGGCUCAACCCUUGGAAGCCGGCCGAUACUGUCGGACUAGAGUCCGGAAGAGGCGAGUGGAAUUCCCGGUGUAGCGGUGAAAUGCGCAGAUAUCGGGAGGAACACCAAUGGCGAAGGCAGCUCGCUGGGACGGUACUGACGCUGAGGCGCGAAAGCGUGGGUAGCAAACAGG
rnacentral:rRNA from 1 species